GCACAAGUGGACAAGAAGGAAGUGUCAGGAAUGUCAAGCAAAGAAGAAGAAAGAGGACAAGUCACUGAAGAUGGAGAAGAAGGAAAAGGACUCUGGGCACAGUAACCUCCCUGUAAUCAGAUCUCAGGUCAUGUAAUUACACUGUACGGGCAUCUCGAGCCUUUUAAUACCUUGAGCAGCGUGACCGCCCUGUAAUCAGGGUCCAGGUCUGUGCUGUUUUAUCCUUUUGACAUUAGGCUCCGUUAGCUGACUAGUGAGAGUGACUGCCCUGUAAUCAGGGUGCAAGUCACCCCCCCCCUUGCUUUCGAGGGACAUUGAGCUCUUUGGUAACUUGAGCAAAGUGACCGCCCUGUAACUAGAGUCCGGGUCUCUGCCCACUUGCUCGUUUGGCAUUACGCCGUGCUCUGGCCCACUACUCAGGAUGACAACCCUGUAAUCAGGGUGGAAGUCAUAUUCCUAUUGCUUCUGGGGGAUACUGAGCUCUUUGGAACCCUGAGCAGUUUGACUCACCUCCCUGUAAUUCGGAGUCAGGUCUCUGCCCUCUUGCUGUUUUGGCAUCAUGCUCUGCUGAUAAUCUAGUCAGUGUGACCACCUGUAAUUGGGGUGCAUGUCACACCCAUUCUGUAGUAUGGGAAAUACUUAGCCCUUUCAUACCGUGCGGAGCGUGACCUCCCUGUAAUUUGGGGACAGGUCUCUGCUAUUUUGCUCCCUGGCUUUAUGCACCUUUAUCUUUCUAAUCCUGUAAUUAGGGUGCAGGUCGAAUCCCUCUCAUUUAUCAGGGAUUAGGGUUAGUUUAGGGCCCUUAGGAGCGUGACCGCCCUGUAAUCAGGGUUCAGGUCUAAAAUUGUCUUCUGUGAUUAUGCUCCAUAAUUCAUCUAGUCAGAGUGAUCACCUUGUAAUCAGGGGGAGAGUUACGUUUCCCUCACUUAUGGGAGUUACUGAUAUCUUUCUUACUUGAGCCGUGUGACCUCCCUGUAACUAGGGUUCAUGUCUCUGUCCUUUGCUUAUCUGGGAUUGUGUCCUGUUCUCAGCCUGGUCAGUAUGACUGCCCGGUAAUUUGGGUGCAGGUCAUGUGCCUCUUAUUUAGGCAAGACUAGGUUUCCCUUAGUGAUUUGGGCUCAGUGACCACCCUGUAAGAAGGGUUCAGGUCUCCUCCUUUUUUCUUUCUUGUGAUGUAUUUUCCAUUGAUGAGUUAGCCCGAGGGACCACCCUGUAAGAAGGGUUCAGGUCCUUUCACCUUAGGGUUGUUGGGCUAGUCACUUGGACCGCACCCUGUAAUCAGGGUGCAGGUCUUGUCCCUUUUCCCUUUAGUUUUUUGAGGGGAGGAAGAUUGGUCGAGUUUAACACUGUGGGUCGAGUGACCUGUUGCCAUGAGCUCUCUUUCUGUUCUGGGAAGUCCCCCUUUGUUUUGUUCGGAUGUGUUUGCGAGAGCACGUGAUACAAGUGGGUGUGCAAGCUUUUUAAUUUUUAGCUAUUUAUUUUUAUUUUUUUAAGUUAAAUCGCUGCAGCGCUUUUUCUUUACUCUUCUCAGAAUUGGAAAAAGAGCUCAAAGUGUAUUAAUGUAUUUAUCCUCCUCCUCCCCACAAAAGGAAAGAGUAAGGGCUCUGAUGUCAUCUUUUAGCGCCUUGGACAGUGUGACCGCCCUGUAAACAGGGAUCUGGUCUCUUCCCUUCGGCUCUGUUUAGGUAGAGCUCCUUUUAGUGGGCUGAUGGCAAUGACUGGCCUUUAAGGAGGACAAUUUAGGUCACAUGUCUGUGACUCACAGGUAGUGCAGUAUCCCUUAGUACUUGGGCAGCAUAACCACCCUGUAUCCAGGGUUCAGGUCUCUGCCCUUUAUUCUUUUGCCACUAUUCUACUUCAGCCAGUUGGUAUGAGUUCUGGCCCUGUAAUUAGGGGAGAGUUUGUGUCCCUCUGGCUUCUGGGGGAUAUUGAGUUCUGUGGAGCCCUGAGCAGUGUGACCACCCUGUAACUAGGGUCCAGAUCUUUGCUCACUUGCUCAUUUGGCAUUACGCCGUGCAUGUCACAAGUAUCCACAGAAUGGGACAUAUUGAGCCCUUUGGUACUGUGAGGAGCUUGACUUUCCUGUAAUUCAGGUUACAGUCUCUGCUAUUUGGCUAAUCCCAGUGACCACCCUGUAAUCAGGGUACAGGUUGCAUCUCUAUUUUGAAAUCUGGUGGAUUAGAACCAUGGGCAGCUUGACCUCCCUGUAAUUAAGAUUUGGUCUCCGAGGCCUUUUGGGUCUCUUGGCAUUGUGCUUUCUUCACAGCCUGAGGCGAGUGACCGCCCUGUAAUCAGGGAAUCUGGUCUUGGCUCUCUGGUGUCUUGGCACUAGGCCAAGUGAGCCAACUGGUCUGAAUGAGCACCCUGUAAACAGGGUACAGGUCUCAUCAGACACUAUUUAUGGUGCCCAAUGAACCUGUGUCCAGAGUCCUGGCCCUUCGCACUGCGCUUCCAACUUGCCUGGAAUUCUGCAGCCAAGUCUCCUGCUUUCUUCCUCGCGUACUGUUCUCUUGGAGACCCGACAUCCUGCUCCCGUUGCAGGCAGCUCCAAGCACAAGUGGACAAGAAGGAAGUGUCAGGAAUGUCAAGCAAAGAAGAAGAAAGAGGACAAGUCACUGAAGAUGGAGAAGAAGGAAAAGGACUCUGGGCACAGUAACCUCCCUGUAAUCAGAUCUCAGGUCAUGUAAUGACACUGAAUGGGAAUUUCGAGCCUUUUAAUACUUUGAGCAGCGUGACCGCCCUGUAAGCGGGGUCCAGGUCUGUGCUGUUUUGUUCUUUUGACAUUGGGCUCCGUUAGCUGGCUAGUGAGAGUGACUGCCCUGUAACCAGGGUGGAAGACACCCCCCACUCCUCGCUUUUGAGGGACAUUGUGCUCUUUGUAACUUGAGUAAUGUGACCACCCUGUAACUAGGGUUCAGGUCUUUGCCCACUUGCUCAUAUGGCAUUAUGCCGUGCUCCGGCCCACUAGUCAGCUUGACAGCACUAUAAUUACGGUGCAUGUCUCAAGUAUCUGUAAAAUGGGACAUAUUGUGCCCUUUGGUACUUUGAGGAGCUUGACCUUCCUGUAAUUCAGGUUACGGUCUCUGCUAUUUGGCUAAUCCCAGUGACCACCCUGUAAUCAGGGUACAGGUUGCAUCUCUCUUUUGAAAUCUGGUGGAUUGGAACCAUGGGCAGCUUGACCUCCCUGUAAUUAGGGUUUGGUCUCUGAGGCCCUUUGGGUCUCUUGGCAUUGUGCUUUCUUCACAGCCUGAGGCGAGUGACCGUCCUGUAAUCUGGGAAUCUGGUCUUGGCCCUCUGGUCUCUUGGCUCUAGGCCAAGUGAGCCAACUGGUCUGCAUGAGCACCCUGUAAACAGGGUACAGGUCUCAUCAGACACUAUUUAUGGUGCCCCCAUGAAACUAUGUCCAGAGUCCUGGCCCUUCACACUGCGCUUCCAACUUGCCUGGAAUUCUGCAGCCAAGUCUCCUGCUUUCUUCCUCCUGUACUGUGUCCAGAGUCCUGGCCCUUCACACUGCACUUCCAGCUUGCUGGAAUUGUGCAUCCAAGUUUUUUGCCCUGCUUACCUUGAUCUUGGCCACCCGUCAUCCUGCUGCUGUUACUGAAUUUCAAAUGGCAUUGCAAGUCUGCUAUAACUGUCUUGCAUACUCUUAAAUCCUCUUAAGAGAAUUGGACAAAACAGAACCAACCAACUUAAAAACAAGAAAAGAGAUGCUAACCACCUGUGAAGAACAAGAAAGGAAACAAAUUCUGAGAGCAAAGUAUAGUUGUGUGAUCUAUUUCAAAGGUUUAUACCAUGUCCAGCACCACAGUAUAUAUAUGCAUUGGAAGGAUAAAUUGAACAAUGUGACUAGUAUCUGUUACCUUUUGAAUGCUGAUUAAUGUUAAUAGACAGUAUAUAACAAACUCUGAAGCUCAGUUACUUGUGGCUUCACAAAACUGAAGAGUGGCAAACAGUUUCCUUCUAUAACCUUUCAAUUCAGUAACUACCUCUGCCACAUGAGAACUGAUAUGUCAUCUUAUUUUAUAAUUAUGUAUGUCCUUUCAAAUUGUCUUUUCUGAGUCCAUAAAGCAUGCUUUGUGCAUCAUACUUUCAUAUUCUGGUAGAAAAGCAGGAUGUAUCUUUUUUAUUUAAUUCAAAAACUUAAUCUUUACUAGGCUUUCAUGACAUUGCUUGAUGAUUUGGGUUUCUGUUUAGCAAGUAGUCAAACUUACUUUCUUAAAGUCUCUGUUGGCUACAGAAGAAAAGUUAUUUGAAAAUGAUAGAAGAAAACUGAGAUGUUGGGUGCGAGUGGCCACCCUGAAGAGUGUUGGAAGACCUUUUCCAGUAGGCACACUAUUAAUAUUUCUCCCAGUUCAUAAGAAAGCCCAUUUUUAUACCAAAAUAGUACCAUAGUUAUGAUGCCAUAUGGAAUUUAACUAAGUUUCUAUCUAUCACCAAUUAGAAAUUGUCAAUAGAACUGGUUAUUUGCAUCUAAAUUGAUUUCAUGUACCUAUGUAACCAAGUAUUUAAAAUAUGUUUUACCAGGUGACUACCCGAUUUUAUGUAAAAUAGUUAUACACAUCUUAGAAGAUGUGCUCUUUUGACUUAAGUGUGUGACUUUUAUAUAGUUGGGCAACUAAUGCUUUAUGUACUUUUUGUUUUUACUAACAAGUUUGUCACUAGGCACCAAGGAAUAAUUGUGAAUCUGUAAUGCAGAUCACACAAGCACUAUAGGAUCAUAGCUUACUAUUAUUAAAAAUCAAUAAUAAUUUCCUACUGGAAGUACAAAGAUGUAACUGAAGGGAAGGCAUGUGUUUGUAUUCUCCACUCAUCCUCAAUUCCCCCCCACCCCCAAUUCAAAAAUAGUUCAGGUGGAAAGAUUAACAUUUACUCCAGGUAACACCUACCUUAAUAUUUUAAAACUCUGUAUCUCUUACACAUGCUAAAAACAAGCAAACAAAAUUAAAUGUUCUGGAAACUGGCAGUUACUCCCUCAACUUCACAACUUUCAAACACCUACUCUACUUCAACGGUCACACGAACCAAACUGUACCACACAUGCAAUUUGAACUUAGCACCUAUUGUGUCAGAACAGUUAGAGUAUAUUUUGGUAGUUGUGUAUAUUGAUGUACAUGGUAAUAGUGGUGUUUUAAUGGGUUUUUAUGCUUAGUGAAUUAAGAGGAUGUUCGAGGAUGACGAUGUGGAUGUUUUAUUUAGGUAUUUUUCUGUUAAGUUAGUAUUCGUGUAGAGGUGAAGUAUUUUGUGGUGAUGACUGUUUUUCAGGUAUUGGUUUAGUGUGAAUUGUUGAAAAAUUUAGAUGGUUUUUGCAUAUGUACAUUGUUAGAUGUACUUAGAGGGCAAAGUUGAGGUUGCCUGUUUGGUGCAAUUUUAUUGGUGUGAAAGUUAAUUUAGAGUAUGUGUUUGAAAACCCUGAGGUUUGAAUUUUAAGCUGUACAGGGAUCCAGUACCCGUUUCAGUUCUUACUGUCAUUCUGAAUUCCAAAAUCUGGGAUGAAGAUGACCUGGCAGAAUAAAGAUAUCUCCAGAGACUUUCAAGAGUUUAGCAUUUCUGCAGCUUCAUGGAAUUCCUUAAACCUUAUUGAGCUUUACAAAGUGUAAUAAUUGUGGGAAACUUCUACUUCUGCCAGUUAAGUGUUGAACAAUGACCUAUAUUAAGAGAUUUAUACUGACAGUUAAUUCUGUUCUGUACUAAGAUGAUUUUGCUAAUAUUUCCACUUUAUGAUGUGUGAAAUGAAUUAACUAGGUUUGACUAUACCUACUUGACAAAAGUUGGAAUACUUCAUGUUUUAUUCAUAGAUUUAACUUUGACUGUCAUAUCACCUUACUUUGCUUUCUAUAACUCCUUAUUUAAUUUAUUAAUAU